CGAGCCCUGGGUCCACUUCUCCAAAAAUUAUGAAGUUACAUCACCGGAUUCCUUAUCUCUCCACAAGUCCGUACAUACAAAAUUUACCAAAAUCGGGGUUCAUUUGACCCCUCAAAUUAGCAAAUCUUUAUUUCAAAUCCGUAGGUCUAAAUCCUCAAUUUUUCUACAAUUUUCAUGCUCAAAUCCAUAUAUAAUUGAU
rnacentral:lncRNA from 1 species